rnacentral:rRNA from 1 species
UACGGUAGGGUGCAAGCGUUAAUCGGAAUUACUGGGCGUAAAGCGUGCGCAGGCGGUCUGUUAAGACCGAUGUGAAAUCCCCGGGCUUAACUUGGGAACUGCAUUGGUGACUGGCAGGCUUUGAGUGUGGCAGAGGGAGGUAGAAUUCCACGUGUAGCAGUGAAAUGCGUAGAGGAUGUGGGAGGAAUACCGAUGGCGAAGGCAGCCUCCUGGGCCAACACUGACGCUCAUGCACGAAAGCGUGGGGAGCAAACAGG